rnacentral:rRNA from 1 species
CAGCAGCCGCGGUAAUACGGAGGGUGCAAGCGUUAAUCGGAAUUACUGGGCGUAAAGCGUGCGUAGGCGGUUCGUUAAGUCUGUUGUGAAAGCCCUGGGCUCAACCUGGGAAUGGCAAUGGAUACUGGCGAGCUAGAGUGUGUCAGAGGAUGGUGGAACUCCCGGUGUAGCGGUGAAAUGCGUAGAGAUCGGGAGGAACAUCAGUGGCGAAGGCGGCCAUCUGGGACAACACUGACGCUGAGGCACGAAAGCGUGGGGAGCAAACGGGAUUAGAUACCCCGGUAGUCCCUGUCUCUUAUAC